CGGGUUAGUAACGCGUGGGAACGUGCCCUUCACUACGGAAUAGUCCCGGGAAACUGGGUUUAAUACCGUAUACGCCCUUCGGGGGAAAGAUUUAUCGGUGAAGGAUCGGCCCGCGUCUGAUUAGAUAGUUGGUGGGGUAACGGCCUACCAAGUCUACGAUCAGUAGCUGGUUUGAGAGGAUGAUCAGCAACACUGGGACUGAGACACGGCCCAGACUCCUACGGGAGGCAGCAGUGGGGAAUCUUAGACAAUGGGCGCAAGCCUGAUCUAGCCAUGCCGCGUGAGUGAUGAAGGCCUUAGGGUCGUAAAGCUCUUUCGCCAGGGAUGAUAAUGACAGUACCUGGUAAAGAAACCCCGGCUAACUCCGUGCCAGCAGCCGCGGUAAUACGGAGGGGGUUAGCGUUGUUCGGAAUUACUGGGCGUAAAGCGCGCGUAGGCGGAUUAGUCAGUCAGAGGUGAAAUCCCAGGGCUCAACCCUGGAACUGCCUUUGAUACUGCUAGUCUUGAGUUCGAGAGAGGUGAGUGGAAUUCCGAGUGUAGAGGUGAAAUUCGUAGAUAUUCGGAGGAACACCAGUGGCGAAGGCGGCUCACUGGCUCGAUACUGACGCUGAGGUGCGAAAGUGUGGGGAGCAAACAGGAUUAGAUACCCUGGUAGUCCAC
rnacentral:rRNA from 1 species